UAUUAUAAAUUAAUUUACCCUGAAUAAAUUUAUUUUAUUAUAUAUAAAUCAAAAAUGAAAUUUCUACUCUUUAUAAUAAUAUAAUUUUUCAUUAAUAGACCAAAACCAGGAUUAGAUACCCUGUUAUUCUAUCAUAAUAUAAUAUUUCAAAGAAAAUAGACAUAAUAAAUCUGACGGUAUUAACUUUUACAAAGGAAUUUGUUUCCUAAUCGAAAACACACGUUAAACCUUACUUAAUUUAAUAUUUGUAUACCACCGUAAUAGAAAUUAUUUAAAAUUAAUUCCAUCCUAAACAAUUUUAUAACAUCAGGUCAAGGUGCAAUUUAAUUAAGACGAAAUGAAUUACAUUUUUAUAUAAAUAUAUAAGAAAUGAAACUCUCUUAAAAAAAGAAUUUGUUAGUAAAAUUUUAUAAUAAUGUUCUUUUGAAAAUUUACAUUAAUAUG
rnacentral:rRNA from 6 species